GAGGGCGGGAGCGGAGCGCGGGA
rnacentral:miRNA from 1 species